UACGUAGGGGGCAAGCGUUGUCCGGAAUUAUUGGGCGUAAAGAGCGUGUAGGCGGCCAGAUAAGUCCGCUGUGAAAUCUCGAGGCUCAACUUCGAGCUGUCGGUGGAAACUAUCUGGCUAGAGUCCGGAAGAGGAGAAUGGAAUUCCUGGUGUAGCGGUGAAAUGCGCAGAUAUCAGGAAGAACACCCGUGGCGAAGGCGGUUCUCUGGGCAUUACCUGACGCUGGAGGAGCGAAAGCAUGGGGAGCGAACAGG
rnacentral:rRNA from 1 species